UGUGGCACUUCGGACUGAUUAGCCCUUUCAGCCAACUUCAUAUUUGUGGCUCAUGACUCUAAGACUGGGAAGGCUGCUCCAGUUAACAGGCUCUUACCAGAAACUGAAAGAGAACAAUUUCUUUUCAAGGAAGCAGAAGCCAGAAAUAAUCUGAGGAAAAGAACGAGAGGAGGACAAAAAAGAGAGUUUGAGAAUGGAGAAGUACAUAGACUUGAAAGCCUGUUGGCUGAGGGAAGGAUAUUCUGUGAUAUGCCUGCCUUGGCAGACGGAGAUAGCAUUCUUCUGAGGGACACUAGCUUAGAGAACUCAUUGAUCUGCCAACCACAGCAGAGAAACAUACAUGGUCGGAUCUUUGGAGGAUUUUUAAUGCACCGAGCAUUUGAAUUGGCUUUUUCCACAGCUUAUGCCUUUGCUGGCCUGGUUCCUUGCUUUCUAGAAGUCGAUCUUGUUGACUUCUUGAGACCUGUGGAUGUUGGAGAUUUCCUGCGUUUCAAAUCUUGUGUUCUCUACACAGAAGUUAAUCCAGAUCAGCCUCUGAUCACGAUUGAAGUUGUUGCUCAUGUUACCAGGCCUGAGCUCAGGUCCGGUGAGGUAUCGAAUACAUUUUAUUUUACUUUCACCGUACGUCCCGAGGCAAAGGCCACAAAAAAUGGAUUUAGGAUACGGAAUGUGGUUCCAGCAAACAGAAGAGAAGAGGAAGCACGACGUAUACUGGAGCGCAGGGAUGCUCAGGCCUUGCUUUCAUCAACACUUGUGACUAAAUAAACACGUAACAUGAAUUUCAAACUAUGUAAUACAAAAGGUAGUGUAGGGAAGAUCCGAAUAUCAUGAUCCAUAUUGGAAAAAAAAAACCUUGAAGAAU